rnacentral:rRNA from 1 species
GACGUAGGAUGCAAGCGUUGUCCGGAAUUAUUGGGCGUAAAGAGUUCGUAGGUGGUAUAUCAAGUCUGGUGUUAAAUCCUGAGGCUCAACCUCAGAUCGGCACUGGAUACUGGUAAACUAGAGUGCAGCAGAGGUAAGGGGAAUUCCCAGUGUAGCGGUGAAAUGCGUAGAUAUUGGGAGGAACACCAGUGGCGUAAGCGCCUUACUGGGCUGUAACUGACGCUGAGGAACGAAAGCCAGGGGAGCAAAUGGG